CACGAACGCUGGCGGCGUGCUUAACACAUGCAAGUCGAACGAUGAAGUUCCUUCGGGAAUGGACUAGUGGCGAACGGGUGAGGAACACGUUCGAAACCUGCGCCUCAUUCUGGGAUACCACCGGGAACCCGCUGCUAAUCCCGGGUACUCCAUCGCGUCGGCAUCGCUGCGCUGGGCAAGAAUAUCGCUGAUGGAUGGUCUCGCGGCCUAUCAGCUUGUCGGUGAGGUAAUUGCUCACCAAGGCGACGACGGGGAGCCGGCCUGAGAGGGCGACCGGCCACGCUGGGACUGCGACACGGGCCAGACUCCUACGGGAGGCGGCAGUGGGGAAUAGUGAGCAAUGGACGCAAGACUGACCCAGCAACGCCGCGUGGGGGAUGAAGGCCUUCGGGUUGUAAACCUCUUACAGUGAGGAAGAAGCGAAAGGGACGGUACCCAAAGAAGAAGCACCGGCUAACUAUGUGCCAGCAGCCGCAGUAACAC
rnacentral:rRNA from 1 species